rnacentral:misc_RNA from 1 species
AACGCAUAUUGCGCUCUCUGGUAUUCCGGAGAGCAUGCUUGUUUGAGUAUCAGUAAACACCUCAACUCCCUUUUUUUCUUUUUUGAAAUGAGGGAGCUGGACUUGAGUGAUCCCAACACUUUUCUUCACUGAAAAGUGGCGGGUCACUUGAAAUGCAGGUGCAGCUGGACUUUUCUCUGAGCUAUAAGCAUAUCUAUUUAGUCUGCCUAAAAAACAGAUUAUUACCUUUGCUGCAGCUAACAUAAAGGAGAUGAGUUCUUGUGCUGACUGAUGCAGGAUUCACAGAGACAGCUUCGCGGCUGACUUUGUAAACUCGAUCUCAAAUCAAGUAAGACUACCCGCUGAACUUAA